rnacentral:rRNA from 1 species
AUUGAACGCUGGCGGCAGGCUUAACACAUGCAAGUCGAGCGGGGUGAUGGUGCUUGCACUAUCACUUAGCGGCGGACGGGUGAGUAAUGCUAGGAAUCUGCCUAUUAGUGGGGGACAACAUCUCGAAAGGGAUGCUAAUACCGCAUACGUCCUACGGGAGAAAGCAGGGGAUCACUUGUGACCUUGCGCUAAUAGAUGACCCUCAGUCGGAUUAGCUAGUUGGUGGGGUAAAGGCCUACCAAGGCGACGAUCUGUAGCGGGUCUGAGAGGAUGAUCCGCCACACUGGGUCUGAGACACGGCCCAGACUCCUACGGGAGGCAGCAGUGGGGAAUAUUGGACAAUGGGGGGAACCCUGAUCCAGCCAUGCCGCGUGUGUGAAGAAGGCCUUAUGGUUGUAAAGCACUUUAAGCGAGGAGGAGGCUCUUUUGGUUAAUACCCAAGAUGAGUGGACGUUACUCGCAGAAUAAGCACCGGCUAACUCUGUGCCAGCCGCCGCCGUAA